rnacentral:rRNA from 1 species
UACGGGGGGGGCAAGCGUUGUUCGGAAUUACUGGGCGUAAAGGGCUCGUAGGCGGCCAACUAAGUCAGACGUGAAAUCCCCAGGCUCAACCUGGGAACUGCGUCUGAUACUGGAUGGCUUGAAUUCGGGAGAGGGAUGCAGAAUUCCACGUGUAGCAGUGAAAUGCGUAGAGAUGUGGAGGAAUACCGAUGGCGAAGGCAGCCCCCUGGGAUAACACUGACGCUCAUGCACGAAAGCGUGGGGAGCAAACAGG